rnacentral:rRNA from 1 species
AGAGUUUGAUCCUGGCUCAGAACGAACGCUGGCGGCGUGCCUAACACAUGCAAGUCGAACGAGAAAGCUCCCUUCGGGGGGUUAGUAAAGUGGCGCAAGGGUGAGUAACACGUGAAUAAUCUGCCCUCGAAAUUGGGAUAACUCGGCGAAAGUUGAGCUAAUACCGGAUAAGACCACGCUUCUCAAGAAGCGCGGCCAAAGGGGUCUCAAUCCCCGUUUGAGGAUGAGUUCGCGGACCAUUAGCUUGUUGGUGAGAUAAAAGCUCACCAAGGCUACGAUGGUUAGCCGGCCUGAGAGGGUGAUCGGCCACACUGGAACUGAGACACGGUCCAGACUCCUACGGGAGGCAGCAGUGGGGAAUAUUGCGCAAUGGGCGAAAGCCUGACGCAGCAACGCCGCGUGAGGGAUGAAGGUUUUAGGAUCGUAAACCUCUGUCGGAUGGGAAGAAUUAUGACGUACCAUCAGAGAAGCCCCGCUAACU